UGAUACUCGAAUAUGAUCUUAGUGUAAUGCGAAACAUGUUAUUGGAAACAUUAAAAUUGUUUAACAUGAAGAUAAAUCUGUUUGCUAUUGCUUUGCUUUGCGUUUUAUUAGCAAAUGCAGUGACGUCGGCAUCUGUAGAUAGUACAGAUCCAAUAAAUGAAGUACAACACAGAGUGAAGAGGGGCUGGCUAUGCACCGAAAAAGAAUGUAGGAGGUGGUGUACAGAAAUAUUAAAUUAUAAACAUGGCAAAUGUUACUUUAUUUGCACAUGCUACUGAACUUAUUAAUAAAAGGAUUAAUACUUUC